GGCAAAAUACUAUUGAAUAGAUACAAAAUUCGUUUAGCAACAGCAGGUAGAUCGUUAGACCAACAUAAUCUACCUUGCAACCUAACCUCAGUAAUUCCAUUCUCCUCCAAACAUUUUUUUUUAAAAUCGGUUGUGAAUUACUAUAUUUCUCAUCUUUACAAAGAGUUGAAACGGCUUCUUCUGAGAACUACUCCCAGAUGAUUCCACCUAUUUUCAAACUUGACCUGAAGAAUUCGAUACUUCAUCGAAUAAAAAAAAAGUUUUUGAAAAUCCUUUGAGAUUUACUCAAGUUAUCGUGCACCACUCAUCUCUCCUCCACGAGACCAAUUUUGGUCACGCAGCAUUCUGGAAAACAAUGAAUCACCAUACUUCGUACGGG